CGCCGCCUAGCUCCCUCUCCAUUGUCUCUAAUUUCUCCUUUAAUUGAAGGCAACUGAGGAAGCUCAACAUCUACAAAAGUUGAUACAAGACUAUAUUGCUUCUUUUCAUCAAAGUAGGAGAUAAGAUGGAUCAUCGUUUUGUGGA